AGAGUCCCUGCAUUGCAACACAUGUUCUAUGAGGAUCACCAGUCUUUGUCUGUUUGGUACAACUACAACAUGUAGCACCUCUGAGCCCAACUGCUAGAGCGGACAAGCAGUGUUCAACAUCAGUAGCAUCCUGAGCAUCACGCGCAAGGUCUGCAUGGCCACAGCUUCCUGUAACACCACAUUCACUGUUAGCAUCCUGGGAGCCGGCUACACCAUCUCACAAACCUGCUGCAGCACCAACCUGAGCAACAUGGCAGGCUGCCGGAGCCAUCCAACUAACUCUCACCGUGGUCCUUGGUGCCACCCUUCGCCUUGACAAAGUAUUCACAAUAAGGACACCUCCUCCAUUGAAGGGUGUUAUUGUAGGUUGUAGCUCUUAGAUACACAAUGUAUUGAAAAUGGUUUAUUCUGGAAAAGACUACAAUGUUUAUUCAGGCUAGUUUCACUAAGCUUUAGUUCCAAGUACCAAUUCAAACUGGUUUUACUUCCAGGGCCUAGAAUACACAACAUCCUACUACAGCAUCGGUAUGAACAGUUAAUCAAUGUAUGUAUUUUACUGUAUUAACAUUUGGAACACGCCAGAGUGACUACACUUUUUAAUGGAAUAACUUCUUCUCAACCAUGUCACUAUUAAUUAUCAUACGUAGUGAGUUUCCCCAUUGAGUAUGCUACACUGUACUCUUUUAUAAGAUAACCUUUCUAUGCAUUCUAUGUGCAAUAAAUGAUCAUACUAAAUACACUUUCAAAAAUAUCUGCUACUACGAGACACUGCAUUAUGUUUUUUUGGGUGUGUGAAAGGAUUGAACAAAUAAUAAAAUAAAGAUAUUAAAUUCCC